AUUGGAAUGCAUCCCCAACAUGUAGGCUAAAUUACCACCGGUCUUUAUACCACCCUCAUCAUCCCCUGAGAUUUGUGUACGUUUGUGAAUAGGAUUGUAGUUCAAUAGUAUUUCCAUAUUGUUCAGGGUUAGGAGGCCAUUCAACUCAAAGAUGAUCCUCUCUACAGUUCAAUAGAAUUGUUUUUUAACCUUUAUACGCUUUGGGGGUUCAGAUGUCCUUUUACAAUAAAAAUCGUGGUCCUUAUCCUUGAUAUUAUACCAACUAUGGGGGUAUGUAAUCUCGCUGAGACCUACUUCUCAGGCCUCUGAUAACUCUAUAGGCUUUGGAAAAUUGGUUGUAUAAUUCAAACUUUUGUUAUUCCUAUAUAUCUGCAGAUGCAUUUCUGGGGAGAGUCAGAUCAAAUCCACUGUGCUCCAUGAUGCACUCUUGUGUAUACUCGAAUGAUGGUGUUUUUACCAUGCAUGAGGGUUUAAAUUAACCCCCACUGUCUCCACCACCUCCUCCACUAAUACCCAACUGUUGAACUUUUGUGGCCAGUUUUUCCAACGGACCAGCAACCAUUUUUUAUCCUUUCUCUGUUUUGAUCCAGAAUCUGCGCCACGUGAAAGACUUUGUCUUUACCCAUCUUUACCUUCUGGAGUUCCUUCUUAUAAAAGGAACCCUCUAUAAGUGUCACAGCUCUUGUCGGAAUGAGUGGACCAAAGCGCAGCCAGGGGACCACAGUGAACUUUCCUGGAAUGACGUCAGGAUCAGGAGUUCUCAGAUUAGUGUAGGGAUGUAAUCUCUGCAAUUAACAGCUCUGUUUACAAUGCAACUGUUUUGAACGUAUUAUUUAUUUGGGAAUUUUGUAUGUUUGUUCAAAAUAAAAAUGUAUCACUG